GGUGUUGCCAUGGUGAUGACUAUGAUGUCACCAGGGAGUAAAUCAAAUUGCAGGUCUCACAGUUGAGCACUUCUGUGUCUGGAGGGUGUUAGGAACAGAAGAGCUGAGGCAGGGAAGCCAUAAGGCCCCUGGGUGAUGCAGAUGCUUCUGGUCCUGACCACACUGGAGUAGGGAGAUGUGAGAUCACCCCACCAGAAAGUGACUGACCUGGGAUCUGAACACACACCCUAAUCAACUGUGGGGCUUAGACUUUGAAAAGCACCGUUGUGAGAAGGCAGCUUUGGGCCAUGGCAGGGACUGUGAGAACCAAGCAGAACCUGGCUCCCCACGGAGAGAGUGGGGAGGAAGAUUCUGGUCUUCUGUUGCCAAGUUCCUUAUCCCGGACCCACCAAUGAGGAGGUUGAAGAAAUCAGAGGAGUAUUCACAGUGGAGAUGAACACUGACCGGGAGGCUGAGAAUAUAGACCAGUGGUUCUCAAAGAGGGGCCCCUAGAUCAGCAGCAUCCCUGUUACCAGAGGAAGAUAUGGAGAUGCACAGAAGUUCAGCAAGUUAUGGAGAUCACACAUCCAACGGUGACAGGGCUGGGAGGCCACCCCCUGUCAUGCACCAUGCUCGGAAACCAUCUCUUCCUUUUAGAUUCUGCAGGAGCCAGCUUGGGACUGAAAUCAGGCCCUGUAGAGCCACCCCAGCUCUCAGCUCCGUGAGAUGGGCACCUGACUCUCCUCUGCCUCCUCCGACCAUCUUCAGUGUUCACCAGGGGUGGUCCAGAGCCCCCUUUCCAGUAAACCUUCUUGUACAAAUCUCUAUCUCUGGAUCUGCUUCCUGGGAAAUCAAGCUGUUAGCGGAAAUAUAUCCAGUGUAGAUGUCCAUACUCUGAUGCCCCAGCACCGGGGGCAUAAGCCUGCAUCUGGCUAAUGGGAGACAGAGACUUGCUGUGCCUGGUUUCUGCUUUAGAUUGCAGCCCACCGUCUCUGACAAAGGGGGGGUGCCCUCCUAGGAAUCGCUGGCUCCCUGAGUUUAAUCCCUGUGCUGGGCAAUGGGCCAGGAGAGAAAGAGUCCGAUUGCACCAUCUCUGCCUGGUCCUGGAAGAGCGGUAGCCCCACCCCGGCCUUCCCCUUCCCGGCCGGCCAAGUGGAACUGCUGAGCAAAUGUCUUACCACCCCCAGGGCCUGGGCCGGGUCCUCCUGCCUCUGUUGGGGGCACAGUGCCAUCUAGUGGAAAAAAAGAAGAAAAGCCCCCUCGGUUGCCUUUUUCUUUUUUUUUUUUUGAAAUUAGUGGAGCAUCAUUGAAAUAGACCAAAGAAAUCAGCUGCCCUCAUUUGAUAUCAAAGAAGCAUCGAGAACCAGAGAAGGAUAUGGACUUCCCGAAUGUCACACAGGCAGCCAGAGGCAGCUUCGACGUUACAGAUUGUCCGGGUGGACCCUUGGCUCCAGGCUCUUGGAGCUGCAUGUACCACGGUAAAGAAACCUGAGGAUGAAAGAGCUUCUGGUGUCUGUCGAGUGGCAUUGGAGACCUCUGCUGGGGUGGAGGCGAACGUGGGCAGAGAUCUCCGUUAUUUACUGUCCUAUAGAAUGCCUGGGCCGCACUCUCUCGGCGACGGGUGCCAGGCCAGAGCAAAGUGAGUCAUCCAUUUGGCUGCACCCCCUCUUCCCUAAAUCUACCCUGAAACUCUGCACAGGAUAAGGCCGCGUCUAUGAUGUAGUGCUACGGAGCAGGAGCAGGAGAUCUUGCAGGUUACCUAUGUCCUGAGGGAAAAAGAGAAAGAAGUGUGGGCUUCCAGCCCCAGCCCUUCCCCUGCUCUUGCCCUGUCCGCUCUUUUGAGAGCCCAGGAAAAGGUUGGGCCUCUGGUCUCAAGCCUACUUCCCUCUCCUCCCUUCUAGAAAUUCCCUGCAAGUCUAAGUUUCCAGGUGCCCAGGUGCACAGGCUACCCAGACCCCAGGAGAGGGAUGGGGUGCAGGAGGGGACACCGCACCCCUGUUUCCUGUGCACUAGGAACUGCCUGACCUUGACUAAAGCAGAUUGCCGCGAGGAACUGCAUACCAUGUGGGCUUCUCAGCCAGUCUCCAGCUAAAAGACAUGUACACCGAGUAGGCUAUUACCCACGAUUGUGGAAAAUGCACGCUGCAUUAUUCAGUGUCAGUGUGAGGGAUGGAGGGAAAGGUGAACGCCAAUGCCUAACUUCAUUCCCCCAAAAUAAAAUCCUAAAUGUUGACUCGAAACAUAUGGCUGUGC